rnacentral:rRNA from 1 species
AGUCAAGUGAUUAAGCGUACACGGUGGAUGCCUUGGCAGCCAGAGGCGAUGAAGGACGUUGUAGCUUGCGAUAAGCUUCGGGGAGGUAGCAAACAACCUUUGAUCCGGAGAUUUCCGAAUGGGGAAACCC